rnacentral:rRNA from 1 species
GUCUUUUUGGUUAUUUAAUAUAAAGUCUGACCUGCCCACUGAAUAUAUUUUGAAGGGCCGCAGUAUUUUGACUGUGCAAAGGUAGCAUAAUCAUUAGUCUUUUAAUUGAAGGCUGGUAUGAAUGGUUGGAUGAGGUACAAGCUGUGUCAUAGAAAUUAAAUUUUGAAUUUACCUUUUUAGUCAAAAGGCUAAAAUAAAGUUAAAAGACGAGAAGACCCUAUAGAGCUUUAUAUAAUUUGUAUUUAAAUUAUUAAGAUUUUUUAAGUUUAAUUAUUUUAUUAUAUUUUGUUGGGGUGACAAUAAAAUUUAUAAAACUUUUAUUUUUAUUGACCAUUUAUUUAUGUUUAUAUGAUCCAGUUUUAUUGAUUAUAAAUUUAAGUUACCUUAGGGAUAACAGCGUAAUUUUUUUUGAGAGUUCUUAUCGACAAAAAAGAUUGCGACCUCGAUGUUGGAUUAAGAGUAAUUUUGGGUGUAGAAGUUCAAAGUUUAAGUCUGUUCGACUUUUAAAUUCUUACAU